rnacentral:rRNA from 1 species
CCCUUAGAUGUUCUGGGCCGCACGCGUGCUACACUGAGUGGAUCAACGGGUCAGGUUGCGCGAAAGUGUUUCCUAAUCUUGAAAUCCGCUCGUGAUGGGGAUUGACGGUUGCAAUUUUCCGUCAUGAACGAGGAAUACCUUGUAAGCGCGGGUCAUCAUCCCGCGCUGAAUACGUCCCUGCCCUUUGUACACACCGCCCGUCGCUCCUACCGAUUGAAUGGUCCGGUGAAAUCUUCGGAUUGAGACUUUGUUUUCUUCACGGAAAACGCUGUUUUAAAAAGUUGAUUAAACCUUACCAUUUAGAGGAAGGUGAAGUCGUAACA